AAGCACAUUUAACAGUGUUAAUGUUUGGGGUCUGGAGCCUAGGCCUCAGGAGUCCUUUCAGCCUCUGUCUUCCCCCACUUGGAAUCCUGCCCUGAGACUUCCAUGAACAGAAGCUGGUUCAGCCUCCAUGAGGAUAAAAAGCCUUGUGGAGGGAAACCAAGGUGCCCCAGACAACGGCCAGCAACAACUGCCAGGGUCUCAGGCCAAUGGACCAGUAGCCUGUGAUUCUGAUGAGCGCUCUGAAAACAGGUGAAAACUGUUCAUCCCUUCUUUGGCGUCCUCAUCACAGGUGGUAGAAUUGAACUGCUCCUAGCAGAACCUGGGAAGAAAUACCUCGAGUCAGUUUGUUUUCUGAGUUCUGCCACGGUUAACGGACUUCCUGUGCAGGAGAUGCAGCUGUAGCCUGGCCACAGAAACAGAAGCAUACAGUUUCCACCUCUGACAAUGAAAGCUGGGCCUCGUGAGAGCUGGGAAAACCUGGGUCUGAAUCUUCCCACUUAGCUCGAAGCUCCUGUCUGGACCACAGCAGCCAAUUCUCACAACAUACAGUAGGAUCACGGCGUGAAGAGAUGCUGAAGAUGAACAGCAGGGAUCUCUUGGGAAAAAAUAUAUCUUCAAACAAGGGAGAUCCAGAAAAGCUUUUGUCUUCCAGGCUAGACUAUAGCCUUCUAUGGCCAAGAUGGAAACAGGCUGCAAUGUGGAUAUGAUGGCUGGAGCUGAAGCAGCCAUCCUGUGACCCUGAGAAUGGAAGCCAUUUAUUAAGGCUGAGGAGCUGACCUAAGAGCUCUGAAUGCCUACUUCUAGACUUUCUUUUAGAAAGAGAAACAAAUACUUAUGUAUUUAAGACAUCUUUUUCUUGGGGGUGAGGGAGUAACCUAAUCCUGAUAUGAUUGGUCUUUUUUUUUUUUUGGAAUGAUUGACUAUGGGAAUUUCUCCUUUCUUAAGGAGUAAUACCAACCCCCACCACUAGGGGGUGAUGUUGCUCUAUAUGCUGCAACGUGACAGUUACAUUAUUACAGAGGUCCAAACUCAGUAUAUUCUGUAUAAUUUAGUUUAAAUAACAGUGUGAGUGAGACAGCUAUGGCCCAGUAUGUUUGGGCUGAGCUUUGAUGAACUCCAUCAAAUUCCUCUAGCAUGAGAUCUGGAUUUCAAGUUUUUCUUGUUUUUUCAACUCUAGACCCUCAGCUUCUGCAAGCAAGCCCCCAAACCAAAGAAAGUAUACAUAGAGGAAGCUCAGAUUAAGGCAAAAAACAGUUUGUAUUUGUAUUUCCAAACGGAACAGUGAGCUUCCAGUUCAAAUGGCAUUGAAGUUAAUGGUAACUGCACUUUCUAAUAAGAAGCACUGGGUUGGAGUUUCCUUGUGGCUCAGCAGGUUAAGAACCUGGCAUAGUCUCCAUGAGGCUGCGGGUUCUAUCCCUGGCCUUGCUCAGUGGGUUAAGGAUCCAGCGAUGCUGUGAACUGUGGUGCAGGUUGCAGAUGUGCCUCGGAUCUGGUGUUGCUGUGGCUGUGGUGUAGGCCUGCAGCUGCAGCUCCGAUUCAACCCCUAGCCUGGGAACUUCCAUAUGCUGCAGGCACGGCCAUGAAAAGAAAAAAAGAGGAAGUAGCAGCAGCAGUGGGUCAACACUGGCUUUAUGUUUGUGUAAAUAAAGAUCCCUGUCUGGGAGGUCUAAUGAAGGUUCUGCUAUGAAAGGAUUUAUUGAAAUUUUCACUUCCUCAAGGUAGAAAAUCACUUGAAGUACUUAAGUGACUUUUUCCAGUUUAUACUCAUCAAAGUUUCAAAAAUCUCCAGGCUGGGAGUUUCAGUCAUUAAAAAUCUGAUGUGAUGGGAGCAAUUUAUCUAGCUCUCACUCUGGCUCAGGGCAGGUUGCUUUCUCAAAAUGAAAGUACAGUACCAGUGCUGUAAAAAAACAAAACAAAAAAAGCCCCACGCAAAACUAACCAACAAAGGAACCUGUGGUUGUAAAAAAUCUUCUUUUGACAGUUUCAGAUCACAUUGCCUUGGUAUCAUCUGUGCCCUCCUUGUCUACCUUUCGUUUAUACCCCAACACUGUGGAGUUAAGUAGAGUUUGGGGGGGGGGCUUCAUAGCAAACUAAUAAUCCUGGAUUUCUCUUCUCAGUUUCCUUACUAAAGUGGCAUGUUGGGUAUAACCAAAACUCCCUGUGGAAUGGAGAAAUAGUCACUUUUCUUUCUCCUCUUAAAGAUAACACUGGAAGUUUUCAUAUGUGAUAAAAUCGGUAGCCUCCAAGUAGGUGAAAGGCCCCUAAUUAACUGCCCACAGGCAGGGAAUUAGGUAUCCGCUUCCUCAGGGGGGGUCCCUUGAGGGUGGGGCUUCACGAACGCAAACACAAGAUGCCCAGUUAAACUGGAAGCAUUUUUGGUAAUUUUUGAGAUACUCUUAUACUAAAUAGUUACUCACUGUUUAUCUGCAACUCCAAGUUACUAGCGUGUCAUGGAUUUUAUCUGAUAACUCUGUGGGGGUGGGGUGGAGGGAAGGCAGAAAAAAAAAAAAAAAAAAAAAAAAAAGCAGAUUCUGGGAUCCCUCAAGGGGACUGCCCCGGGGAAAGUCACUGACGAAAAACAAAACAGCCACAAACCACUGUGGGCAGGUGUUCCAGGGUAAUUCAUGCCUUCUUCUUAUGUGUGUUGGCAGUAGCUCGGAUGUCUUCCCUCUCUGGGUGUAUUAAGAGCUCAGUUAGGGAUGCUGAUCACCUGGCUCAUCAAUGUCCACUGAGGAAUAGAUGGGAGGGACCUCCUCAAGCCCCAAGCUUUUGGGAUUGUGGGUUCUGUCCUUUCAGACAUAUAUCUGUGUGGGGCUGGGAUGCUGGGUGUCCUCUUCUUAGAGACACAGCAAUCCGUCAUUGCCUUGAGGUCCAGAGUCCCCAGUUGUCCUUUAGAAGGCAGCUUGUCCAAAUGGCAGAAUAAGAAAAAGAUUUGGUUUGACGCCCUUCUUGAGUUUAUGUGCUCUGGAGUACCCCUUCUACCAGCCCUGCCCAACAUCUAUUUUCCAAAUGCCUGGCUUAGUCAGAGUCUAAUCAGAAUCCAUUGAAUAAAGAGAAUACGCACCAUCUCCUCUGACUCUAGAAACGAUACACGUGGGCAGUGUUCCAUUUUCUGCCUUUUUAGUCUCCAUUCCAGGCUUCGUACAAAUACACACACAUGAAACAUACUGAACUACGAGUCACUUUCAGGGUGACAUCGCAGGUAAGGAGUCCUUCUUUCAUUUGAAUUCCCUUCUGACAUUGAUUCCUGUGUUCAGUAAAGUGAAAGGUCUCACCAGCUCUGGGUUUCUUGCUUUUUGGCAGGGAGAUACCUGAAGACUUGGCCUCCCUCUAGAAUAAGCACCCCCCCCCCACUGUCCUCUCCCACUGCUGACUCAAUUCACUUGCCCUCAGGUCUUAGCCCUCCCAGGGAAGCUUCUUCCUUAUAUCUCAUCUAAAUCUUUACCCAUCUUCUCUAGGGAAAAAAACCUACCUUUAUCUUCAGUAUGAGAUAUCAUCCCUCCUUCCCACGUCAAGAUCCCAGGUCUGUUUUUCAGUCUGAUGUAGCCCCACUGGAUGCUCAGAGAUGUUUAUGGACAUCAAAAUCUUUUUUUUUUUUUUUAACUCCCAUCAUAACGGGUAACUGUGGAUCUCUCUGGUCACAAUGUGGCUUCAUUUCCCAGUAUGAGCUGCAGGCACACCAGCCCUUUGAAUCAUGGACUGGUUAAACUGGGCACGUAUACUAUCUCAGGGAGGAGGUGGUCAGAACCCUCAUUGAGAGAGAUCUAUUUUCUCACUGGCCAGGCAGCCUAGCCCCAUUAUUGUUCAGAAAGCUUUUCCACCUUUCCGCAGUGUGGAGAGAGGAGCUAGGUUACCCGUUAACGAAUGCUCCCUUGAAAAGGCCAGGAAGAACUCUAGACUGGAUUAAAUUAUUUAGGUUCAACCCGUCUCCCCUGGGGAAAAGGGAAUGUAGGGGUGAGUUUGGUUGGCAGUUCUUAUUAUAUGGAUGUUUGCUGGGACGUAAUUUGGACCCUCAUUUCCUUUAGAUAGCCUUCCUGAUUUUGGUCCUCUCUAAAUUAUGCAUGAAGUUGCUUUUACAGCAGGAUACUGUGAGAUUAGCUGCUCAGAGAUAAUGUUAUUAUUUCCACCUUAUGUUAUUUUUUAUCACAACUCCUAGAAUCCAGUUCUACCAUCUUCUUAUGUCUCUUUGUUCCUUCUGGAAUGCUUUGCUCUGACUCCUGUUUCCCAGGUACCACCGGUUCCUGCCUUACAUCUGGCUUUCUUGGACUUCCAGAUCUUGGCACAUACUCCUGGUCUGGAAUAAUCGUUUUUUCAUCCCUCUUGCAUCUGACCUACUCACACUUGUCUUUCCUGUCUCAGAGUAGCCGCACCGACUUCCUUAGAUGGGCUUCUUAAACUUUGGUAUGCCAAAGUAUCAUCUGGAGAUCUUUUUUAAAAGAUAAUUUCUUUUUUUCAUCUCUAUCCUCCUCCACCUAAUUCUGAUUCAGUAGGCCUGGGAUGAGAGUAAUUUAGACAAGUGUGCAGGUCAUUCUAAGUAGAGGUCUGCAGACCAGUCAGUCACAUUGGGGACUGCUGCCUCUGACUCUGUGGUCCUAGAGCCCACCAUAUGGACCCUAUUAAAACAGGUUACUCUCAGAGUUCCCACUGUGGUGCUAUGGGAUUGGCGGCAUCUCUGCAGCAUUAGGAUGCAGGUUUGAUCCCUGGCCUGUCAUAAUGGGUUUAAAGGAUCCUGUGUUACUACAGCUGUGGCACAGGUCGCAAAUGGGGCUCAGAUCUGAUCCCUGCCUGGGAACUCCAUAUGCCCCAUGGCAGCCAACACAAAACAAAACAAAAAACAGGUGACUGUUAUUACCCCCUUAGUGUCUGUCCUCCCUGAUAGCUGAAAACAGCCAAGGCAGAUUGUGUGUCUGUUUCAUUUGCUGCUGUUAUCUUCAUCAGUUAGCAUAGGGCUACAUUAAGCACCUGGUAUGCACUUAAUAAAUGUAGUAUUUCUGAGAAGGAGGUGGGAGAAAUCAGGAAGUCAUCGCCUGCUGAGAAUCUUCAAUACGUGAGCACAUGGCUUCCAAGGCAUUUUUCAAAGAGAAGUCCAGAAUGGAGUGAAUGGAAUGGCCUUUGGAAGAAAGAUCUAGACAAUUCCAGUGGUAAUUUCACAUGUUGUUAUUUGCAUGAUUUCUGUUCUCUUUGAGGGGAAUAAAAUCUAUGAGACAGUAUUUUCAGUUAUGUCUGAUAAGGAAGCUUUGCAAACAUCUGUUCAGCCAGAGUGAUGGACAUAAGCAGAUAAUAAGCCAGGCAAAUUCACUCCCUUUCCAUACUGGGCAUCCAUUGCAUGGAAGGCAUGGUUAUAGAAUAACAUUUGGGCAGAGGACAGGCUCUAGAGUUAGAUGGACUUAGAAGCUCAGCUCUUCUACUUCCCAGCUCUGUGACCUUGGGCAAGUGUAGCUUUCUAAGCCUCAGUUUCCUUAUCUAUAGAUGAGGAUAAAAUUGUACCCAUGGGCGUAAAAGUUUACAGCCCAGACUACAUGGGUUUGAAUUCUGGUUCUUCCACUUACCAGCUGUAUGACUUUGGGCAAAUUAUUUAACCCUUUAUAUGCUUCAAUUUUCUUAUUAUAAAAUUAAUUCAAAGAUUAUUAUAUUAGUUAAGCUAUGUUAAAUUGCUGUUUUUAUAGUUCAAAACAGUUUAAUAUCAAAUGAUUCAAAUUAAUACCUACCUCAUAAGCUUAGGGAGAAAAUUCUGGAGUUCCCAUCACGGCUCAGUGGAAAUGAAUCCACCUAGUAUCCAUGAGGAUGCAGGUUUGAUCCCUGGCCUCAUUCACUGGGUUAAGGAUAUGCUGUUGCCGUGAGCUAUGGUGUAGACUGCAGACUUGACUUGGAUCUAGCUUUGCUGUGUCUGUGGUGUAAGCCAGCAGGUACAGCUCUGAUUCGACCCCUAGCCUGGAAAGAAAGAAAAUUCAAUGAGUUCCCUGGUGGCCUAGUGGUUAAGGGUUUGGCAUUGUCACUGCUGUGGCACGGAUUCAGUCCCUGGCCUGGAACUUCCACAUGCCACGGGUGU
rnacentral:lncRNA from 1 species